GAUGAACGCUGGCGGCGUGCUUAACACAUGCAAGUCGAACGGAAAGGCCGAAGCUUGCUUCGGUACUCGAGUGGCGAACGGGUGAGUAACACGUGGGUGAUCUGCCCUGUACUUCGGGAUAAGCUUGGGAAACUGGGUCUAAUACCGGAUAUGACGAUCUCUUGGAUGGGGUUGUGGAAAGCUUUUGCGGUAUGGGAUGAGCUCGCGGCCUAUCAGCUUGUUGGUGGGGUAAUGGCCUACCAAGGCGCCGACGGGUAGCCGGCCUGAGAGGGUGUACGGCCACAUUGGGACUGAGAUACGGCCCAGACUCCUACGGGAGGCAGCAGUGGGGAAUAUUGCACAAUGGGCGCAAGCCUGAUGCAGCGACGCCGCGUGGGGGAUGACGGCCUUCGGGUUGUAAACUCCUUUCGCAAUCGACGAAGCCUUUUGGUGACGGUAGGUUGAGAAGAAGCACCGGCUAACUACGUG
rnacentral:rRNA from 1 species